GCGGUAAUACGAGGGGUGCAAGUGUUGUUCGGAAUCACUGGGCGUAAAGGGAGCGUAGGCGGGAGCCUAAGUUGAGGGUUUAAAACCGGGGCCCAACCCCGGCGUGGCCUUCAAAACUGGGUUUCUUGAAUGGGACAGAGGUAGAUGGAAUUCUGGGUGUAGCGGUGGAAUGCGUAGAUAUCCAGAAGAACACCAAAAGCGAAGGCAGUCUACUGGGUCCACAUUGACGCUGAGGCUCGAAAGCAUGGGGAGCAAACAGGAUUAGAUACCCUGGUAGUCCAUGCCAUAAACGAUGGAUACUGGGUUUGGGGCAGUCAACGGCUCCGAGCCGUAGCUAACGCGCUAAGUAUCCCGCCUGGGGAGUACGCCCGCAAGGGUGAAACUCAAAGGAAUUGACGGGGGCCCGCACAAGCGGUGGAGCAUGUGGUUUAAUUCGACGCAACGC
rnacentral:rRNA from 1 species